CUGAUGAGGGGCAUAGAACUGCUUCUGCUUAAGUCAUGAGUGAGUGGGGCUGGAUGGGAAUGGCAGCCCAGCAGCAUCCACAGGUGGGAGAAGCAGCAUCCACAGGUGGGAGGAGCAGCAUUCACAGGUGGGACAGCAGCAUCCACAGGUGGGAGGAGCAGCAUCCACAGGUGGGAGGCGUACCAUGCACAGGUGGGCUGACACUUCCAGAGGCUCAGGUGCUGACAGAUAUCUGUCCUGUAGGGCCUUCCCAAAUCUGAUUAAAACUUGUCUGGAAGACACAAAUCUUAUUAAACUGCAAGGACAAAAGUAAAAACAAAAUAAUAAUUAGGAAAGUGUCACUAGAGAGGACAUUAAAUUCCGCAGGAGUUGUCCCCAGUCCCGAUGAAUUUAGCUGCUGAGGAAGAUUCAAAUAUCCAGCUAACUGCUUGAGGAUCAGUCAGCCACAUGAACCAGUUUGUUGGAGAUGUGGAUGAAAACAUACUGGAAGUAUUGGCCCAGAGCACAGAGACCUCCUUCAGAAGCAA
ensembl:lncRNA